rnacentral:rRNA from 1 species
ACGUAGGGUGCGAGCGUUAAUCGGAAUUACUGGGCGUAAAGCGUGCGCAGGCGGCUCUAUAAGACCGCUGUGAAAUCCCCUUUCUUCCCCUGGGACCUUCUUUUGUGACUGUAGGGCUUGAGUGCGGCAGAGGGGGGUGGAAUUCCACGUGUAGCAGUGAAAUGCGUAGAGAUGUGGAGGAACACCGAUGGCGAAGGCAGCCCCCUGGGCCGAUACUGACGCUCAUGCACGAAAGCGUGGGGAGCAAACAG